UGGGGAAUAUUGCACAAUGGGCGCAAGCCUGAUGCAGCCAUGCCGCGUGUAUGAAGAAGGCCUUCGGGUUGUAAAGUACUUUCAGCGGGGAGGAAGGGAGUAAAGUUAAUACCUUUGCUCAUUGACGUUACCCGCAGAAGAAGCACCGGCUAACUCCGUGCCAGCAGCCGCGGUAAUACGGAGGGUGCAAGCGUUAAUCGGAAUUACUGGGCGUAAAGCGCACGCAGGCGGUUUGUUAAGUCAGAUGUGAAAUCCCCGGGCUCAACCUGGGAAUUGCAUCUGAUACUGGCAAGCUUGAGUCUCGUAGAGGGGGGUAGAAUUCCAGGUGUAGCGGUGAAAUGCGUAGAGAUCUGGAGGAAUACCGGUGGCGAAGGCGGCCCCCUGGACGAAGACUGACGCUCAGGUGCGAAAGCGUGGGGAGCAAACA
rnacentral:rRNA from 1 species